rnacentral:rRNA from 1 species
GCAUAAGACCACAGUACCGCAUGGUACAGUGAUCAAAGGAUUUAUUCGCUGAAGGAUGGCUUCGCGUCCGAUUAGGUAGUUGGUGAGGUAACGGCCCACCAAGCCUACGAUCGGUAGCCGGACUGAGGGGUUGAUCGGCCACAUUGGGACUGAGACACGGCCCAGACUCCUACGGGAGGCAGCAUG